CUUACAAAGAUAUUCAAUCUGGUUUUGUGUGGUUUAUUUGUGGAGAAUCGUAGGAGCCUGUGGCCAGUCCCCAUCACCCUGUGCUGCUUUAGGGAUGGCAUAAAAGAAAGGGUAGAGCAGUACAUGACAUGAUUCAGAGGGCCAAUAAAACCUCUAUAAUAUCUCUCCAAUCUGACCUAUUUCAAUAAAU
rnacentral:lncRNA from 1 species